UCAAUGGAAGAGAAGGGCUUGAUCUGGAGCGCCAAGAGCACACAAGAGUUUGGCAAUGGAGCUUUGCAACUCAGCAGCAAGCCAAGUAAUGGGCAUCUUCAACACCGCCUCCAACGCCGUACUCGGCGACGCUUCCUCUGAUUCCUCGCAUCACAAAGGGUUGGUUCUUUCACUAUUGGAAUGAAGGUUUCAAAAAGCGGUUUUACGUAAUAGUUGCGGCCAUUACAUAAUGGUUGUGGCGGUAGGCGCUAUCCGUUGCACUUGCUUGUGCGGUGUGACGAAAAUUCACGUGUAAUAGUUGUUUCAGUGUUAUGUAACGACUAUAGCAGUAUUGUAAUGGCCAUAAUGGCUCAUUACACACAUUUACAAUAUUUUUAAUAGCUUCCAUUCCCAAAAAAAAAAAAAAAAA